AGCCUGAGGACUGACUGGUACCCGCAGCAGGCUGCAUCGCCUUUGUGCGGAGGCAGGCGGAGGAGCUGACACCGGCCAAGAGCAGAACCAGUAGGAGUGAGUUGGAGAAGCGAGGUUUACAAAUUUUUCUAAGGAGGACUGUUGAUUGGAACAAAAAGGAGAUUGUGAGCCAGGUGAUUUCAACUGGAGUGAUGGCGAUCAAUUGAUCAGUAGGAGAACUGAAAGAUCAGAGGAAACUGAAAGACAAAGUUCAAGCGCAGGAUGUCCCCGCCAAACCUGGACGCUUGUCACCGGGAGUCAAGGCAGCUGAAGGCCGCGGGGCCGAGGGUGUGCCCAGCUCCCGGUACUCUCGGGCUUGAAAUUUUAAGCAAGACUGGAGCGGGAGAUGCCGCAGACCACUGAGCCAAGGUUUCACACACAACAGGUGGAGGAGGCAGGGUUCUCAGCCUCCAAGCUGGGCUCGAUCUGGCCAAAGAGCUGCGGGGAGCAGGGCCGGAGCUAACAGGAGGAGAGAAUGAGAGCAGAAUUAUUUGAAUCGUAAGCUCGGGGCCAGAAGAACCACGAGAGUAACUCUGAACAGAUGAAAACUGACCAUCUUGGACAAUGGAACGAAGAAGCAGCCAGAGAGGCGCCAGAAUUUAGCGCGUGCAACUGCGGUGCAGAUGCCGCAGGCAAGGCCUUCCCAGAGAGUCAUCUUGCAGAUAGCUGUCCUAGGUCCCCGUGGUGGCAACUUACUAAAGUCACUGUCGAAGGCUUGCCUCUUCUCCUGGGGGGGGGGGGGCAGGGGAGGGGACGCUCCGCGAGCAGAAUUCCAACUCCCAGAAGAGAGCCAAAAGUCAAGACAAGUAGCCCCACGAGGAAUACGCUUCAGAGAGCCUUUCUUCUUUCCUCUUUUCUUUUCCAAACGAAAUCUAAUACUAUCUGGCUGCAAAAAUAUAUAUCACCGGCUCUGAGUCUGAAAGAUUAACAUUGGGAUACGUAGGAAAUGUAAUCUGCAUGGCUAAUUGAUUCUCAGCGUAUCAGUUUAAAGGAUAAAGAUCGAUAUCUGCAUAUGAUGGAUACUGUAUUAAUAGGGACAUAAAUAAAGGCCGAAGAGUCGUUACUGGAACCUUUGAA
rnacentral:lncRNA from 1 species